rnacentral:rRNA from 1 species
UACGGGGGGUGCAAGCGUUAAUCGGAAUUACUGGGCGUAAAGGGUGCGUAGGUGGUUUAGUAAGUUAGCUGUGAAAUUCCUGGGCUCAACCUAGGGUGGUCAGCUAAGACUGCUAGACUCGAGUAUGGGAGAGGGUAGUGGAAUUUCCGGUGUAGCGGUGAAAUGCGUAGAGAUCGGAAGGAACACCAGUGGCGAAGGCGGCUACCUGGCCUAAUACUGACACUGAGGCACGAAAGCGUG